ACAAACCAAAUGAUGAUUGAAAGCAUAGUUCAGCAGAAUUAUUAUGUUGACUUAUCAUUUUCGCCCCUAUUUGAUGGUUUGU